ACAGUUUUUCUCAGUCGCUUUGGUACAUUUCUCAGAUCAGAAUUGAAAUUCUCAAAACUACUUGUUCAAUCUUCACAUCAUUGUGUCACUUGUGCACAUCAAAAAAGCACCACACUUGUAGACCACGUUCUCAAUCAUGAGCUUACAAUGGCCGAGGCUGGUCGAAGGGUGCAGCCAAAUGUUGGGAGAACAACUGGAAAUACUGGAAAGUAUAUGAUCGCCAGCGUCAACGUCAGGAGGUGUAGGAAGACUGCACUGUAAUUCCUACAGCACUGCAUGUACAGUUUUCCCUAAGGAGAUUGUCCUAUGUUCACAUUUCUACUUUUGUUUUUUUGUUUUUUUCUUUGUGCUAUGCAGUGCUGUCUUUUCCUUUCUGUAUCGCAAUGACAUGGUCUGUCAACAAAUUACAGUACAAACAGUUAAAGCGUAAAUGUGAA